rnacentral:rRNA from 1 species
CUGCUGCCUUCCGUAGGAGUCUGGUCCGUGUCUCAGUACCAGUGUGGGGGACCUUCCUCUCAGAACCCCUACGCAUCGUCGCCUUGGUGGGCCGUUACCCCGCCAACUAGCUAAUGCGACGCAUGACCAUCCGUAGCCGGAAUCGCUUCCUUUAAACCCGAGGAGAUGCCUCCUCGGGUUGUUACGCGGUAUUAGACGGAAUUUCUUCCGCUUAUCCCCCUGCUACGGGCAGGUUUCAUACGUGUUACUCACCCGUGCGCCGGUCGCCGGCGGGAG